rnacentral:tRNA from 1 species
UGGACUAUGGUGUAAUGGUAGCACAAUAGAUUUUGGUUCUGUUAGUGAUGGUUCGAGUCCGUCUAGUCUAA